GUGUGAGUCAGGAGACAGACAGUCAGGAGAAAAAAUUGUUCACGAAUAUGUGGGUGCGUCCGAACAUUAUUUAGAUAUUUAUUCCUUAUACCUAGGACAACAGGUUCUGUGGGAAUUAAGGAGACAGAGAAGUAACCUUAAGGAGAGGUAAGAAGAAAGGUUGUUGAUUUACGUCUGGUGGAUGUCUGGUGUUAUAUCUUUAAAUAUUAAUCGAAGCAAAACUCACUCAGUAUAUUUUACUGUCAUUUUUUUCAGAGAAACCCACCAAUGACCAAAACUCAGGCUUCCUCAUCAUAUGUUACAGGACUGGGAACCAAAACUCAAUCAGUCCUGAUGUUGUCCAACGAAGAACUUUUGCUACAUUUCCAAAACUCACCAAUUCCACAGAAAUCUUCUUGAAAACAUGAAAUUGCCCUACAGUCGUACUGGUGAAAUAACCUUUGCACAACUAAAAGUUGCUUGGAAUAAAAGUGAGCACUGAGCCUGGAUCCCACCUCAGGAAGCAGACAGCACAAAGCAGGAGACACAAUGACCAGGAUGUCACUCAGCAGCCACCCGCACUGCACUGAAGGAAACAAGAGGUAAUUCCAGAUGCUCGAAAUUAGCCCCAACCCUGUAAGUUUGCGGCUACAUAGUGCCACCAGACAGUGUUCCAAAUACAAAAAUGUACCUACCAGACAGAAAGUAAUA